AAGCAUGGUGUGGACAUUGAUUGGUGUAGCUUCUAAACCUCUCCCAAGCUUCCCCAAAGCUUUCAUUGUUAUGUUGCUUGAAGCUUGAUAUCUGGUUUCUCAGUUU
rfam:Eutrema salsugineum unplaced genomic scaffold scaffold_14, whole genome shotgun sequence.